GAUGAAGAACGCAGCAAAAUGCGAUAAGUAAUGUGAAUUGAAGAAUUCAGUGAAUCAUCGAAUCUUUGAACGCACAUUGCGCCCGCUGGUAUUCCGGCGGGCAUGCCUGUUCGAGCGUCAUUUCAACCCUCAAACCCCCGGGUUUGGUGUUGGGGAUCGGCUCUGCCUCACGGCGGUGCCGCCCCCGAAAUACAUUGGCGGUCUCGCUGCAGCCUCCAUUGCGUAGUAGCUAACACCUCGCAACUGGAACGCGGCGCGGCCAUGCCGUAAAACCCCAACUUCUGAAUGUUGACCUCGGAUCAGGUAGGAAUACCCGCUGAACUUAAGCAUAUCAAUAAGCGGAGGA
rnacentral:misc_RNA from 1 species